UACGGGAGGCAGCAGUGAGGAAUAUUGGUCAAUGGGCGGAAGCCUGAACCAGCCAUGCCGCGUGGAGGAAGACGGCCCUAUGGGUUGUAAACUGCUUUUAUCAGGGGAUAAAGUGGGAAACGUGUUUUCCAUUGCAGGUACCUGAUGAAUAAGGACCGGCUAAUUCCGUGCCAGCAGCCGCGGUAAU
rnacentral:rRNA from 1 species